rnacentral:rRNA from 1 species
CGCGGCCUAUCAGCUUGUUGGUGAGGUAACGGCUCACCAAGGCAUCGACGGGUAGCUGGUCUGAGAGGACGAUCAGCCACACUGGGACUGAGACACGGCCCAGACUCCUACGGGAGGCAGCAGUAGGGAAUCUUGCGCAAUGGGGGCAACCCUGACGCAGCAACGCCGCGUGUGGGAUGACGGCCUUCGGGUUGUAAACCACUUUCAGUGAUGACGAAAAUGACGGUAAUCACAGAAGAAGGUCCGGCCAACUACGUGCCAGCAGCCGCGGUAACACGUAGGGACCGAGCGUUGUCCGGAUUUAUUGGGCGUAAAGAGCUCGUAGGCGGUUCUGUAAGUCGGAUGUGAAAACUCAGGGCUCAACCCUGAGACGCCAUCUGAUACUGCAGUGACUAGAGUCCGGUAGAGGAAGAUGGAAUUCCUGGUGUAGCGGUGGAAUGCGCAGAUAUCAGGAGGAACACCAACGGCGAAGGCAGUCUUCUGGGCCGGUACUGACGCUGAGGAGCGAAAGCAUGGGGAGCAAACAGGAUUAGAUACCCUGGUAGUCCAUGCCGUAAACGUUGGGCACUAGGUGUGGGGUCUUCUAACGGAUUCCGUGCCGUAGCUAACGCAUUAAGUGCCCCGCCUGGGGAGUACGG